UCCAUUUCAUCCUGUUUCUAUUCCCUUUGCGGCACUUUUUUCUCUAAAAACUCCACUUUCAGUAUGAUAUUUCUCUCUGUGGGUUACCUCUAUGAGACCUCACAGUCCGGUAAACGAUUGGGAUAGAAAGGAAGAGAGACGCCUUUCAAUAUCUCAUUACCGCACCACAUUUUACGAGCGUAACUAAUUGCCGACAGUUCG
ensembl:ncRNA B0273.114 ncRNA